rnacentral:rRNA from 1 species
UACGUAGGCAGCGAGCGUUGUUCGGAGUUACUGGGCGUAAAGAGUGCGUAGGCGGUGCUCCAAGUCUGGUGUGAAAUCUCCCGGCUUAACCGGGAGGGUGCGCCGGAAACUGGGGUGCUGGAGUGUGGGAGAGGUAAGCGGAGUUCCCGGUGUAGCGGUGAAAUGCGUAGAUAUCGGGAGGAACACCAGUGGCGAAGGCGACUUCCUGGCCUGUUCUUGACGCUGAGGCGCGAAAGCUAGGGGAGCAAACGGG